CAAUAGGCCCUUUUCAGGGCCACUACAAACUAUACCUCAAGCUGAAU
rfam:Operophtera brumata OBRT01_Sc14863, whole genome shotgun sequence.